GUGGCGAACGGGUGAGUAAUGCAUCUCAACGUGCCCAGUACCGGGGGAUAACUACGCGAAAGCGUAUCUAAUACCGCAUACGCCCUACGGGGGAAAGGGGGGGAUCGCAAGACCUCUCACUAUUGGAGCGGCCGAUGUCGGAUUAGCUAGUUGGUGGGGUAAAGGCUCACCAAGGCGACGAUCCGUAGCUGGUUUGAGAGGACGACCAGCCACACUGGGACUGAGACACGGCCCAGACUCCUACGGGAGGCAGCCGUGGGGAAUUUUGGACAAUGGGGGAAACCCUGAUCCAGCCAUUCCGCGUGUGCGAUGAAGGCCUUCGGGUUGUAAAGCACUUUUGGCAGGAAAGAAAUCGGUCGGAUUAAUACUCUGACCGGAUGACGGUACCUGCAGAAUAAGCACCGGCUAACUACGUGCCAGCAGCCGCGGUAAUACGUAGGGUGCAAGCGUUAAUCGGAAUUACUGGGCGUAAAGCGUGCGCAGGCGGUUCGGAAAGAAAGAUGUGAAAUCCCAGAGCUCAACUUUGGAACUGCAUUUUUAACUACCGGGCUAGAGUGUGUCAGAGGGAGGUGGAAUUCCGCGUGUAGCAGUGAAAUGCCUAAAUAUGCGGAGGAACACCGAUGGCGAAGGCAGCCUCCUGGGAUAACACUGACGCUCAGGCACGAAAGCGUGGGAGCAAACGGAUUAGAUACCCUGGUAGUCCACGCCCUAACGAUG
rnacentral:rRNA from 1 species